AAAAAUAAACAUCGACUAGAUGAAAUGGAAACGAGAAGCCAGCAACCGACCUGGGUCGAAAAUAGAAUUGGUAUCAUUUAUUGCAGCCUAAUUGUUUAUUAUGAAUGAAACUUGUAUUUUCAUUUCUCCGACGACUAUGAAACUUUUACUUUUUCCUUCUUCUUCUUCUU
rnacentral:ribozyme from 13 species